UACGUAGGCAGCGAGCGUUGUUCGGAGUUACUGGGCGUAAAGCGUGCGUAGGCGGUGUCUUAAGUUUGUUGUGAAAUCUCCCGGCUUAACCGGGAGGGUGCGGCGAAUACUGAGAUGCUGGAGUGCCGGAGAGGUAAGCGGAAUUCCUGGUGUAGCGGUGAAAUGCGUAGAUAUCAGGAGGAACACCAAUAGCGAAGGCAGCUCGCUGGGACGUUACUGACACUGAGGCGCGAAAGCGUGGGGAGCGAACAGG
rnacentral:rRNA from 1 species